UGAGGAAUAUUGGUCAAUGGACGGAAGUCUGAACCAGCCAAGUAGCGUGCAGGAUGACGGCCCUAUGGGUUGUAAACUGCUUUUGUAUGGGGAUAAAGUUAGGGACGUGUCCCUAUUUGCAGGUACCAUACGAAUAAGGACCGGCUAAUUCCGUGCCAGCAGCCGCGGUAAUACGGAAGGUCCAGGCGUUAUCCGGAUUUAUUGGGUUUAAAGGGAGCGUAGGCUGGAGAUUAAGUGUGUUGUGAAAUGUAGACGCUCAACGUCUGAAUUGCAGCGCAUACUGGUUUCCUUGAGUACGCACAACGUUGGCGGAAUUCGUCGUGUAGCGGUGAAAUGCUUAGAUAUGACGAAGAACUCCGAUUGCGAAGGCAGCUGACGGGAGCGCAACUGACGCUUAAGCUCGAAGGUGCGGGUAUCAAACAGGAUUAGAUACCCUGGUAGUCCGCACAGUAAACGAUGGAUGCCCGCUGUUGGUACCUGGUAUCAGCGGCUAAGCGAAAGCAUUAAGCAUCCCACCUGGGGUGUACGCCGGCAACGGUG
rnacentral:rRNA from 1 species